UACGUAGGUGGCGAGCGUUGUCCGGAUUUACUAGGCGUAAAGAGCGCGCAGGCGGUCGUACAAGUCGCGUGUGAAAGCCCCCGGCUCAACUGGGGAGGGUCACGCGAUACUGUUCGACUCGAAGGCAGGAGAGGGAAGUGGAAUUCCCGGUGUAGUGGUGAAAUGCGUAGAUAUCUGAAGGAACAUCAGUGGCGAAAGCGACUUCCUGGACCAAUACUGACGCUCAUGUGCGAAAGCGUGGGUAGCAAACAGG
rnacentral:rRNA from 1 species